UAUAGUGAAAAACCCCCAAAACCCCCGUGGACGUAGGUCUUCUCGACCGAACCACGUAAAUCCAGUGUCGUUUACUGCUUUUUAGUUUAGGUGUUGGUUUCUCGUUUCACCAACUGGCGCCGUCUGUGGGAAAGGAUCGGAGCUACGUCGUGAGUUCCGACGAGCUUACAAAAAAUUGGGGAAGUUACUGUUUAUCACGGAUUACUGUUCAUCAAAUUUUUUUGGGGAAAUUAGGAAUUUGGGGUUACUGCUCAUCAACAGGGAUGAUCGGUGGGUUCUUCCCCAAUAAAGGAAAAGUCACUGAAAAAUCUCAGAUUAUCCUCCGAUCUGAAUUCAUUUUUGGGAGAGAGGUUGUUCUUCCAAUUUCUAAUUUCCAGAUCGGGUUCUAGCUCUUUCUCUCUCCAAAAGGGUGGUUUUCUCUCCAUACUGUUCUCGCCAGAUCGAUGGGCAACACCCGUCACCGCUGCCUCGUCUGAGCUGAAAAGAUUAGGGAAAAUUCCGAUCCGAGUUCUCGAAAAAUAUCGCCCCAAAUCCACUAAACCCUUAGUCCUAUUCUCAAUUUCUGAUAUAUUUUAGGGAUCCUGAUUUUUUCUCUUUCGUUUGCUUACUGCGCUUACAAUCGCUGAUGAUUUUGUUUAAAUUCUUAUGCAAGGACAUGUAUGCACUCGCGGGAAUUAAGGAGCGAAGAAGGACAGGGUUUCACCGGUGGCGCAGCCAGCGCCGCCGCCUCUCGCCUCGUCGCUGCUCUGCUCGGCAGCGCAGCUAGCGCCGCCGCUUCUCACCUCGUCGUUGCUCUGCUCGGCAGCGCAGCUAGCGCCGCCGCCUCUCGCCUUGGUAUAUCAACACCAAGAUGUUGAGCAAAGUUUGGGUAAUGACGGCUCUAGGUGGGGUCUCUUGACACAAGGGGAGAUUUACACAACAUAUUCCUAUUUGCAGCUCUGUGUCGGAGAACUCAGCAACGGGGAUGGAGUGUAAAAACUAGCAGCUCUGCUCUCUGCAAAGGGGGAUGUGGCAGUUCUGGAUUUAUUCUAGUUGACAGGGGAGCAUUCGGCAGCCCUGCUCUUAGUUCAUGGGGUUCUCUCAGCGCAAACACGCUCCAGCCCCGUAAGCUACAAAGGCGGGAGGUAGGGGAAAGAUGUCAUCUAUCUACGAUGAGCAAUCACACAUAACAAUGGGCUAAGAAAUAGCCACGAUUCCUCUGCUAAGUUGCCACCUUCUGCCAUCAUACAUAAUUUUGAGUUGAGGGAUUGGGAGAAUCUGCUAAGACAAUUGCAUAUUUGACAAAACAAAAGAAAAAAAAAAGGGCAUUGGAUUUUGAAUCUAAUUUUUUGGGCACAGAACGUGAAAGGGGUAAUUGUAUUAUUAUGAAUAUUAAAUUUGGUCUUCAACUUGAUGACUUUGAGGUG